CCUCUGGUAGCUCAGUUGGUAGAGCGGUGGACUGUAGAUUCACAGUUAUCCUAGGUCGCUGGUUCAAAUCCGGCCCAGAGGA